rnacentral:rRNA from 1 species
UACGUAGGGGGCAAGCGUUGUCCGGAAUCAUUGGGCGUAAAGCGCGUGUAGGCGGCCCGGUAAGUCCGCUGUGAAAGUCGGGGGCUUAACCCUCGGAUGCCGGUGGAUACUGUCGGGCUAGAGUGCGGGAGAGGCGAGUGGAAUUCCUGGUGUAGCGGUGAAAUGCGCAGAUAUCAGGAGGAACACCAAUUGCGAAGGCAGCUCGCUGGACCGUUACUGACGCUGAGACGCGAAAGCGUGGGGAGCAAACAGG